rnacentral:tRNA from 1 species
AGCCUCUUGGUGUAGUUGGUAUUAACACAUCCUCGUUGUGAUGAUCUGAUGCACAUACAGAGGGAGAGCCGUGGUUCGAAUCCACGAGAGGCUG